AGAGUUUGAUCCUGGCUCAGGAUGAACGCUGGCGGCGUGGAUAAGGCAUGCAAGUCGAAUGGGUUUAGGCCCAUGGCAGACGAGGUAGUAACACGUAGGAACGUACCCCGAAGUCGGGCAUAUACCAUCGAAAGAUGGAGCAAUUCCCGAUGGUCUCGCAAGAGUAAAGAUUUAUCGCUUCGGGAGCGGCCUGCGUAAUA
rnacentral:rRNA from 1 species